CAGCUCAUGGUGUGAGCUUGAAGGGCUCAAGCGCCUGCUGAGGGGAAACGACCUGCAUUUGGCAACGCUGAUCACGGACCGACAUCGCCAGGUUGCCAAAUGGGUGAGAGAGGAGCUGAUCCCUGAAGGGACACAGCAUUAUUUUGACGUGUGGCACAUUGCAAAAAGUCUGGGGAAGGCAUUGGAUGCAGCAUCCAAAGAGUGUGACCAACUACAGUUGUGGAGGC